GGCCCACUAGCUCAAUUUGGCAGAGCAGCUGACUCUUAAUCAGCGGGUUCGGGGUUCGAGUCCCUGGUGGGUCACCU
rnacentral:tRNA from 1 species